rfam:Cyberlindnera fabianii strain 65 BON22_Sc21, whole genome shotgun sequence.
GUUUUUAUAGCUUAAUCAGGUAAAGCAUCUCACUGUUAAUGAGACUACUGGUGGUUCAAAUCCAUCUAAAAACG